rnacentral:lncRNA from 1 species
GGGGCUGGGGCUCCCGGGCGCCAGAACCCCGGGCGGGCGCGGCGCAGAGGCCGGGCGAGCGGCGGGGAGGAAAAGGCGCGCCCCGGGCGCGGGUGGGAGCGCGCGAGGGGGCGCGGGGGAGCGGCUGCGAGCAGCAGGCGUGGGAGGGAGAGGGGCUGUGGGAGAGCGUGGACGGGGUGUGCGCAAGGUGGACCGGAUGUGCGAGCGCGGCUGCCGGGGCGAGCGGGAAGCUCCUUUACACAGGUCUGACCCUCUUCUGCACACCUUUAACUGCUGCCUCAAGUUUGGUUCUAACCCCGUGAAUCUCCUGUAACCGUGGUACUCUACCCUCUACUCUAAGUAUCCAUCCUCAUUGCCAAGAUUCCUGCUUCUACACCCCAAUGCCACAUGGGAUCAUUGUAUUUGAUGGACCUACAAUUCCAGUUAUCCCACCUUCCUGGAUAUAGCAAUUUGUACAGAUGACUAACCAUGUGCAAGCCAGACUCUCCCUCAGAGGAAGACUGGCCCUGAGCUAAAAUCCGUGACCAUCUUCGUCUACUUUAUACGUGGGAUGCCUACCACAGCAUAGCUUUUCCCAAGCAGUGCCAUGUCUGCACCCGGGAUCCGAACCGGCGAACCCCAGGCUGCCGAGAAGCGGAACGUACGAACUUAACUGCUGUGCCAUGGGGCCAGUCCCUGUCUUUCUGUUGUUGAUUUCUAGUUUAAAUCCAUUGUGAUCUGAGAGCAGAUAUUUAAUGAUUUCUAUUUUUAAAAAUAAGUUUAAUUUGU